rnacentral:rRNA from 1 species
UACAGAGGGUGCGAGCGUUGUCCGGAAUUACUGGGCGUAAAGCGCAUGUAGGCGGCCAAGCAGGUCGGAUGUGAAAUCCCUCGGCUCAACCAAGGAAGUGCAUUCGAAACCGCAUGGCUGGAGUCCCGGAGAGGGUAGUGGAAUUCUCGGUGUAGAGGUGAAAUUCGUAGAUAUCGAGAGGAACACCGGCGGCGAAAGCGGCUACCUGGACGAGGACUGACGCUGAGAUGCGAAAGCGUGGGGAGCAAACAGG